rnacentral:rRNA from 1 species
CAAGCGAUAGGUAAGGGCAUUUGGUGAAUGCCUUGGCAAUCAGAGGCGAAGAAGGACGUAAUACAUUGCGAAAAGCUCAGGGGAGUUAUGAAUAGGCAUUGAUCCUGAGAUAUCCGAAUGGGGAAACCCGGCCGUAAGGUCAUCAUUAUCUGAAAAGAUAGGGUAAUGAAGCGAACUGAGCGAACUGAAACAUCUAAGUAGCUCAAGGAAAGGAAAUCAACCGAGACUCCGAAAGUAGUGGCGAGCGAAAUCGGACCAGCCAAAAAAGACAUAGGGCGCAAGAAGAACAUUCUGGGAAGGAUGACCAAAGAAGGUGAUAGUCCUGUAUUUAUAAGCAAACUAUGUAAAAACGAGUAGGGCGGAGCACGAGAAAUUCUGUCUGAAGAUGGGUAGACCACUAUCCAAGGCUAAGUACUACUGAUUGACCGAUAGUGAACAAGUACCGUGAGGGAAAGGUGAAAAGCACCCCGAUAAGGGGAGUGAAAGAGAACCUGAAACCGGAUGCCUACAAGCAGUCGGAGGAACAUUAAGUUCUGACGGCGUACCUUUUGUAUAAUGGGUCAGCGACUUAAUUUAUGUAGCAAGCCUAAGCCGAUAGGUGUAAGCGAAGCGAAAGCGAGUGUUAAUAGCGCGAAAAGUUACAUGGAUUAGACCCGAAACCGAGUGAUCUAGCUAUGAGCAGGUUGAAGGUUGGGUAACACCAACUGGAGGACCGCACCCACGCCUGUUGAAAAAGUCGGGGAUGACUUGUAGCUAGGGGUGAAAGGCCAAUCAAACUCGGAAAUAGCUGGUUCUCCGCGAAAACUAUUUAGGUAGUGCGGCAAGCGAAUACCUUGAGGGGUAGAGCACUGGAAGAAUGAGGGGGGAGCGAUCCUUACUAAAUUUUACCAAACUCCGAAUACUCAAGAGUAAUACUUGCCAGACAGACAGUAGGUGCUAAGGUCUAUUGUCGAGAGGGAAAGAGCCCAGACCGUCAAUUAAGGUCCCUAAAUUAUGGCUAAGUGGUAAAGGAAGUGAAUUGUCCAAAACAGUCAGGAGGUUGGCUUAGAAGCAGCCAUCCUUUAAAGAAAGCGUAAUAGCUCACUGAUCUAAUUAAGACGAUUUGCGCCGAAGAUGUAACGGGGCUAAAGCCAUAUACCGAAAUUACGGGUUUGUACUAAGUACAAGCGGUAGCGGAGCGUUCUGUAAGCCUGCGAAGGUGUUCCGUAAGGAAUGCUGGAGGUAUCAGAAGUGAGAAUGCUGACAUGAGUAGCGAAAAGAAGUGUGAGAGACACUUCCGCUGAAAGUCCAAGGUUUCCUGCGUAAAGCUAAUCUGCGCAGGGUUAGUCGGCCCCUAAGGUGAGGCUGAGAAGCGUAGCUGAUGGGAAGCAGGUUAAUAUUCCUGCACCAGCUAGGAGGUGACGGAUUUCAAAGAUUGUAACUGAUUAUUGGAUUUCGGUUGCAGUUCAGAAGUUCCAGGAAAGAGCCCUAGCAUAGACCGUACCCCAAACCGACACAGGUGGACAGGUAGAGAAUACCAAAGCGCUUGAGAGAACUAUGUUGAAGGAACUAGGCAAAAUGCUUGUGUAACUUCGGGAUAAGCAAGCCCCAUUUUUAGGCAACUAAAGGUGGGGGGCACAUACUAGGGGGUAGCGACUGUUUACUAAAAACACAGGGCUCUGCUAAAUUGAAAGAUGAAGUAUAGGGUCUGACGCCUGCCCGGUGCUGGAAGGUUAAGGAGAGAUGUUCACGCAUUGAACUGAAGCCCCAGUAAACGGCGGCCGUAACUAUAACGGUCCUAAGGUAGCGAAAUUCCUUGUCGGGUAAGUUCCGACCUGCACGAAUGGUGUAAUGAUCUGGACACUGUCUCAACCGUGAGCUCAGUGAAAUUGUAGUAUCGGUGAAGAUGCCGAUUACCCGCGAUGGGACGAAAAGACCCCGUGAACCUUUACUAUAGCUUAACAUUGAAUUUGGGUAAUUGAUGUGUAGGAUAGGCCGGAGGCUUUGAGACAGGUACGCCAGUAUUUGUGGAGCCGCUGUUGAAAUACGGCCCUUUGAUUAUUUGAGUUCUAACUCGCCGUUGCGAGGACACUGUUUGGUGGGUAGUUUGACUGGGGUGGUCGCCUCCAAAAGCGUAACGGAGGCUUCUAAAGGUGCCCUCACGACGAUUGGUAACCGUCGGUAGAGUGUAAUGGCAUAAGGGCGCUUGACUGGGAGACUUACAAGUCGAUCAGGUAGGAAACUAGAGCAUAGUGAUCCGGUGUUUCUGUAUGGAAAGGACAUCGCUCAAAGGAUAAAAGGUACUCCGGGGAUAACAGGCUGAUCCCUCCCAAGAGCUCAUAUCGACGGAGUGGUUUGGCACCUCGAUGUCGGCUCGUCACAUCCUGGGGCUGGAGAAGGUCCCAAGGGUUCGGCUGUUCGCCGAUUAAAGUGGUACGCGAGCUGGGUUUAGAACGUCGUGAGACAGUUCGGUCCCUAUCUGCCGUGGGUGUAGGAUACUUGAGAGGAUUUGUCCUUAGUACGAGAGGACCGGGAUGAACAUACCUCUGGUGUACCAGUUGUAACGCCAGUUGCAGCGCUGGGUAGCUAAGUAUGGAAGGGAUAACCGCUGAAUGCAUCUAAGCGGGAAACCCACCUCAAAACUAGGUAUCCCCAUUAAGAUCGUGGUAGACCACCACGUCGAUAGGUCAGGUGUGUAAGCACAGCAAUGUGUUUAGCUAACUGAUACUAAUAAUCUGAUUGGCUUGAUAA